GACGAACGCUGGCGGCGUGCUUAACACAUGCAAGUCGAACGGACAGGCCCUGCUUUUGUGGGUUGCUCGAGUGGCGAACGGGUGAGUAACACGUGAGUAACCUGCCCUUGACUUUGGGAUAACUUCAGGAAACUGGGGCUAAUACCGGAUAGGAGCUCCUGCUGCAUGGUGGGGGUUGGAAAGUUUCGGCGGUUGGGGAUGGACUCGCGGCUUAUCAGCUUGUUGGUGGGGUAGUGGCUUACCAAGGCUUUGACGGGUAGCCGGCCUGAGAGGGUGACCGGCCACAUUGGGACUGAGAUACGGACCAGACGCCUACGGGAGGCAGCAGUGGGGAAUAUUGCACAAUGGGCGGAAGCCUGAUGCAGAAACGCCGCGUGCGGGAUGACGGCCUUCGGGGUGUAAACCGCUGUCGCCUGUGACGAAGCGUGAGUGACGGUAAUGGGUAAAGAAGCAACGGCUAACUACGUG
rnacentral:rRNA from 1 species